CUACGGGCGGCUGCAGUGGGGAAUAUUGGACAAUGGGGGCAACCCUGAUCCAGCCAUGCCGCGUGAGUGAUGAAGGCCCUAGGGUUGUAAAGCUCUUUCAGCGAGGAGGAUAAUGACGUUACUCGCAGAAGAAGCCCCGGCUAACUUCGUGCCAGCAGCCGCGGUAAUACGAAGGGGGCUAGCGUUGUUCGGAAUCACUGGGCGUAAAGCGCACGUAGGCGGACUGAUCAGUCAGGGGUGAAAUCCCGGGGCUCAACCCCGGAACUGCCUUUGAUACUGUCAGUCUUGAGUCCGAGAGAGGUGAGUGGAACUCCGAGUGUAGAGGUGAAAUUCGUAGAUAUUCGGAAGAACACCAGUGGCGAAGGCGGCUCACUGGCUCGGUACUGACGCUGAGGUGCGAAAGCGUGGGGAGCAAACAGGAUUAGAUACCCGUGUAGUC
rnacentral:rRNA from 1 species